CGAGCUCCCCCACGCGGCCACGCCACAGCCGCCGACCUCGGCUAUGGCAACGAUGGCGAGAAGGUGCUAGCCCGCCCCGCCUCCCACCUCCGUCUCCAUCUCUACCUCUCUGCCUCCCGUGAUCACCACCAUUGCCGUGUAUCCUAGCCAUAAUCCAUGCCUCCAAACCUCACAUCGUUGCUGGAUUUCUGGAUGAGGGCGAGUUCGAGCUAAUCCCCGUCCCAGAAUUCCAAAUUUCGACGCCGCAGACGCGGCCCAGGCAGCGCCGCCCCCCGCCAAAGAUCCCGUUCGACCUCCUUCGCCCGUUCUCCAUCGAGAUCGUCUGGGUCAGCUUCAUUGAGGUGGCACGGCAGCGAGGGCUUCAAGUCGACCACACUUUGGAUCGGCGGAUAAUGCCAAUGAUGGUGACUAAAUCGGCGAGCAGAUUCGUGCUCUCCGGCCAUCUUAUUUUCCCUAUUCAUCUGCUCUAGGUCUGCAGGUUAGUCCCGACGAGAAGCUCGAGUUCAUUAGCCGGCCGACAUCAAGGCGGAGGCAGAAACUCGAGGAGGCAAAGCUUUCAAUUUGUGCUCACGGCCGCGCUUGCCCCCGCGCCGCGCUCGCCCCAGCUUCCCCCAAUUUGUGCUCACGACCGUACCCCAUCUCCGCUGCCCCCAAUUUGGGCUCACAGCCACCGUAAGCAUAUUCUUUUCAGGGGAGUCAUCGGGCUCACCUGCUACGAGUCAAGGUGCCGGCAGGGAUGGCAGGCUCUAGCGCGGCUACGACAUCUCCGUGGAGUGCUCGCUGCAGCAGUCGGGGCCCAUGUCCGCCCAGCAAGUUCUUCGCUAAGGAAUCGAGGGGCUCUCCUCCGGCGAGUCAAGUUGCCGGACGGACGCCCUCCCGAGGCUCCAGCACGCCCCGUUGCCGACUGCUCCACCGGUAUCCACAUGACAACUAGAAGGACAUUCCAACGUUUGUAUCCGAGGAUCUGCUGGUCUGCUUUUUGGUUGAAGAGAACAAAGAUGGAACGGGUAACACAACAUACACACACCAAACUGAAUAUUAUUUUGUCAGUGUUGCCAUGUGCGAAUUUAUACUUGCGAGCUUAACAACUUAGAAAAUGUUUUGUUUUUGUCACAGUGAGGGUUUCCCUCUUAAGCAAAAAAAUGAUGUAGAAAAACAUCGGUGGCUUCAAAAUUUGAAUUGGUGUGCGUAUGCUACAAAAUCAAUCUGUACACCUAUGAACACUAUUCAUUUUUCGCAAGUGGUUCUUAAUCUUAGCAGGUUCGUUUGGGAGCUGUCCUCCUUUCAGUUUGAAUAAACUAAUGACACUUUUGUUAUUUCGCCACUUCUUCGCCAUGAAGCUAAUGUUUUCAGGUUUUCCGUUCAGCUAGGAGUGUGGGGUUUCCAUUGUCUUGCACAAUCUAUGUCGUGAUCGUCAAAAUCAAACGUUGCUACCUCGAAUAUGUUGUUCGGCAUGUCUAGAGUUCUGACAAUUUCAAGUACAUGUGUCUGUUUUUUAUUCUUUUUUGCAUUUGCCUUGGAGGAUAGAGCAUUCGUCCUCAUUUCUCCACUAUUUUAUUUGAGAGAACAUUUUCAUGAGAGGUCAUUAUUAGCAAGCUAAGGCAGGAUGAGCUUUUGUCAACCGUAGGUAGAUUGAAAAGGUUAUAAGGAGGCAGGGAGGUUACCAAAGAUAGACAGCGGUGCGCCCUAUAUAGGAAUAUAGGAUGAUGAGACUCCCAGGCGGACAAGGAGCACAAGCACCUCAAAAGGUAGAAUUCGAUUUGAAUUUUUGAAAGAGCUCCGCGUCUUAGUCCUAAGAGUGGAAUUUAACCUGCUAAUUUCUCAUAGUGCAAAAAUUAGUUUGAGUUUCUGUAGGAAACGCAGUACCUUUUAGUCUCAAAGUUGACAUUUAAUUUGCCCACUAUAGGACAUAAUUAAUAUUUCUGAUGUUUGCAUAAUAUUGUAUAUGUGUCUUGAUAUUUUAGCUUUGUAAUGAUCAGCUUCACAAAUCAUUAAACUGUUUUUACCUUGCACCUGGUUCUUGGAUUUUCUUUUAUUUUGACUCAAUGGGUGUUAUGUCAUCUACUGUUUCUUACUUUGACUGUCCUUCGCGUUCAACUACAAAAACGAUUUGAAGCUGGAAAUUUGACCAAGACUUGAUAUAGACCCUCAUUCAAGUGAAGUUAUUUUUAUACAGCUAAGGUACAUUCUCUUCUAUUUGUCAGCAAGUGAAGCUAUUUUUAUACAGCUAAGGUACAUGCUCUUCUAUUUGUCAGGAGAAAAUCUGGGACUAUAACUCCUGUGCAUGCUCUGACAUGGUCUAACUGUUCAGAUAAUUUGUUAAAUUGUUUCACUACGUGUGCACAAUUUUGAUUAUUUAUCUUGAGCUCUUAUUAUUUCCUCACGGAUAUAUUUCCAUUUGCAUUGCAACCACUAAUAUUGUCUCACGGGAGCGUACAGGCUAGGGUCUGCUUUUGUUUACUACCACAGUAAUCCAUGUUACCAUGUAUGUUCAAUGUAGUAAACUUCUGAAGCUGAUCUACCAUUUGAUCACACCUUGGGUGCGUAUUGCAUAUUAUUAUCGUCCUGUUUAGAAGCACAUGAGAAAAAAAUGUUGUAUGUUAUUACUCACUUUUGUUUAGCUUCUAACAUCCUACCAGCGAUAUUAUGCAAGGAGAAUAACAACUAGGUGUUCUCCAUACACCCUUGUGCACUCAGAUUUCUCAGCCGAGAGCUAAAACCAUGCCUAGGCAUCAGCGCGAAAUCGCCUUUCGUUUAUCAGUGUAACGAUCCAUGCUACUGCCCAAGUUCUAUAUAUGUAAUGGUUCCUGUAACUACAAAUUGUUCACCCAUUACAGGAUGAUGAUCAAUGUGGAGUACCAGUUAUUGUUACUAGACUUAAUUUGUGUGUAUUUCUGAUACCAUACAAAUUGAUCGUCCAUUACAGUAUGAUGAUCAAUAUGCAGUACCAACUAUUGUUACUAGACUUAA